rnacentral:rRNA from 1 species
GCGACGGCCUAACACAUGCAAGUCGAGGGGUAACAGAUGAAGAGCUUGCUCAGAUUGCUGACGACCGGCGCACGGGUGAGUAACACGUAUGCAACCUACCUUUUACAGAGGGAUAGCCCAGAGAAAUUUGGAUUAAUACCUCAUAAUAUUUUUAACUCGCAUGAGUUUUAAAUUAAAACUUCGGUGGUAAAAGAUGGGCAUGCGUUCUAUUAGUUUGUUGGUAAGGUAACGGCUUACCAAGACUACGAUAGAUAGGGGUUCUGAGAGGAUAGUCCCCCACACUGGUACUGAGACACGGACCAGACUCCUACGGGAGGCAGCAGUGAGGAAUAUUGGUCAAUGGUCGAAAGACUGAACCAGCCAUGUCGCGUGAAGGAUGACGGCCCUAUGGGUUGUAAACUUCUUUUGUAUGGGAAGAAAAGCAGUUACGUGUAAUUGUCUGCCGGUACCAUACGAAUAAGGAUCGGCUAACUCCGUGCCAGCAGCCGCGGUAAUACGGAGGAUCCAAGCGUUAUCCGGAUUUAUUGGGUUUAAAGGGUGCGUAGGCGGCUCUAUAAGUCAGUAGUGAAAUCUCGAAGCUCAACUUCGAACGUGCUAUUGAAACUGUAGAGCUUGAGUACAGACGAGGCAGGCGGAAUGUGUUGUGUAGCGGUGAAAUGCUUAGAUAUAACACAGAACACCGAUAGCGAAGGCAGCUUGCCAGACUGUAACUGACGCUGAGGCACGAAAGCGUGGGGAGCGAACAGGAUUAGAUACCCUGGUAGUCCACGCCGUAAACGAUGAUUACUGGUUGUAGGCGAUACAUUGUCUGUGACUGA